UGUUCGGUUCCUAUUUGACCGUUCUCUCCGGAUCCGUUCUCUCCCAAGUCCUUCCUUCCGCAACGGAAAAGGUUCUCUCCCAAGUCCUUCCUUCCGCUUCAAUUCUGUUGCUCAGAGGUCGUUCAUGCUACCUUGAUCUGAGCUGAUUCCUUCACCUUCCAGGAUUAGGCCUCGGAGAGAUCUCAAGCAUGGAGGCUCCUACCAGUCCUUUGGACGGCACCAUUUUGAAGCUUCCAGGGAAGCUCGACAGGCUACUUCUUCAGGCUCACGGCUGCGCCCUGCCCAAGGGCGUGGCGGAUGAGAUACCCCUCAUCAAGCUUGAUCUCGAGAAAAUCAUAGGUAUUUCCUCAAACCUGCAGGAAGACGACCAUGCUAUGAUGGUCAGGUGCUGGAGGAAGGAGCUGCGGGAGCUUUCAUACGACAUGGAGGACUUCCUUGACCAGUAUGAGCACGCCGCUGCCAUGAACUGUACUAGAUCCAUUCGUGGCCAGGAGAUUACUCGGCGGCGCAAGAGCAAGAGAACUCUCCCUUGGAUCCGGGAGAAGCUGAGGCAGCGCCUGUGGAUGGCCAACAAGAUCAGAGAAUUCAGCGAGCGCGCACAAGAGGCACUUGAGCGCCACAGGUUGUAUAACCUUGACGCCAUUGCUGGCCCUGCUUCCUUUAGCUGUACUGAUGAUGCAUAUCCCACCUCUUGGAAUUGCACACCUUGUGGGGAAGAUAAGGCUUAUGUUGGUAUCGAUGCUGCUAUGGAAGAGCUCGAAGAGUUGCUGAUGAUGACCCAUGAUCAAGGGCUCCAGAAGCUUCAGGUUGUGUCCAUUGUUGGGUUUGGAGGAAUUGGGAAGACGACACUUGCCAUGGAACUUUACCGCAAGCUUGGGCAGCAGUUCGAAUGCCGGGCAUUUGUGCGGACUUCCCAGAAGCCUGAUAUGAGGAGGAUUUUCAUCAGCAUGCUCUCCCAAGUUCGUCCACACCAGCCACCUGACAAUUGGACAGUACAUGGCUUAAUUUCCACCAUCAGGACACAUCUGCAAGAUAAGAGGUACUUGAUUAUAGUUGAGGAUUUAUGGACUACAUCAACAUGGGACAUUGUUAAACAAGCUUUACCAGAGAGCAAUUGUUGCAGCAGAAUACUAACAACAACAGAAAUUGAGGAUCUCGCUCUACAAUCUUGUGACCAUGACCCAAAGUAUGUUUAUAAGAUGCAACCGCUUGGUGAAGAUAACUCAAGAAAAUUGUUUCUCAGUUCAGUUUUUGGCCCUCAAUAUGAAUGUCCUCCAGAACUCAGGGAAAUUUCUCAUGAUAUUAUCCGGAAAUGUGGUGGUUUACCACUGGCUAUUGUGACUGUUGCCAGUAUUUUAUCAAGUCAGCCAGGCAAGCAAGAUCGAUGGGAUUAUGUCAAUAAAUCCAUAGGUUACAGUUUGUUGACCAAUCCUACCUGGGAAGGGAUGAAACAAAUCUUCGAGCUUAGUUACAACAAUCUUCCCCAGCAUUUGAAAGCUUGCAUCUUAUACACUGGUUUGUAUGAAGAGGACAUUGUAAUUUCGAAGGAUGAUUUAGUUAACCAGUGGCUAGCUGAAGGUUUUAUCCAAGCAACAGAAGGGCAAGACAAGAAGGAAAUUGCAAGGUCAUUUUUCGAUAGGCUUAUCAAUGGAAAACUGAUCCUUCCUGUAGAUGUAAAUAGAAAUGGUGGGGUUUUGUCCUGCACGAUUCACCACAUGGUACUAAAUCUUUUUAUUAGAUGCAAGUCAAUAGAAGAGAAUUUUGUCACCGCAAUACAUCAUUCUCAAGCAACAACCACACUCGCUGACAAGGUUCGUCGACUGUCUCUUCAAUUUGGCAAUGCAGAAGAUGCAAUAACACCACCAAAUAUGAGAUUGUCACAUGUCCGAACACUUGCCUUUUGGGGUGUCUUCAAGUGUUUGCCUUCCGUUGUGCAGUUUCGCCUUCUUCAAGUUCUAAUUCUCCAUAUUUGGGGCGAUAAGGAUACCAUAAGUUUUGACAUCACUGCAAUUUCAGAACUUUUUCGACUGAGGUAUUUGAAGGUUGCAUCUAAUGUCAGCUUGGAACUACGUACCCAGAUGCGAGGUCUGAAAUCUCUGGAAACACUUACAAUAGAUGCAAGAGUUAGUUCAGUUCCAUCAGAUAUUGUUCACUUGCCAGGCUUGCUGCAUCUUAGUCUUACUGCUGAGACAAACCUGCCCAGUGGGAUUGGCCACAUGACAUCGCUUCGCAUGCUUGGAUGUUUUGAUAUCAGUAGUAAUUCGAUAGAGAAUGUACAGAGCCUUAGCAUGCUGACAAAUCUUGAAGAUCUUCAGCUCACCUGUUCUACAGUACAGACAGAAAAUCUGAAUAGCAAAAUGCAAUCCGUGCUGAUCUCGAUUCUAGGGAGACUCAGUAAGCUCAAGUCUGUUACUCUUGCAUCAAGAGCUCCCAGUACUGUAAAAUCUAUUGGUGCCACGGGCAUGACCAUUUCUGGUGGCUUCAGCAGUUUUCCCUCUGCCCCACCUCUUCUUCGGACUCUUGAGGUUUCACCUCAAAUUUGCAUAUUCUUCUACACCCCCCAAGUGGAUCGGACAACUCCGCGAGCUCUGCGUCUUAAAGUUUGGGGUUAGAAGAAUAGACAGGGAUGGUGUUGAUGUUCUCAAAGGAUUGCCUGCUCUUUCUGUUCUCACCCUGUAUGUCCAGACCAAGCCUGCAGCGAGGAUAGUCAUUGGGAAGACCGGAUUUCCAGUUAUAAAAUACUUCAGGUUCAAGUGCUGCGACGCUUUGCUGGAAUUCGAGGAGGGUGCUAUGCCUAAUCUCCGCAAGCUGAAGCUUGCUUUCAAUGCCAGCAAUGCUGACCAACAGAGCACAAUACCUGUCGGCAUCGAGUACUUGUCUGAGCUGAAAGAGGUAUCUGCAAAAAUUUGUGGUGUUGGUCCUGAGGAAUCCCACAGAAGGGCUGCCGAAUUGGCAUUCAGAGAUGCCAUCAGGGUGCAUGAUAGAUUUCAAAGAGUCAAUGUACAAUGUGUAAAGCAGAUCAUUGAAUGUAAGGAUGAUCAGAGUAGCAUAACAACAGUGGAGUAUUCGCCUCAUGACAGCAUCCCUAGAAACAGAGGUGGCGGAGGCGGCAGCGACGAGCCGGCCCGGAUGCUCAAGCGCCCGCGCCUCGUGUGGACGCCGCAGCUGCACAAGCGCUUCGUCGACGCGGUCGCGCACCUCGGCAUCAAGAACGCCAUGCCCAAGACCAUAAUGCAGCUCAUGAGCGUCGACGGCCUCACGCGCGAGAACGUCGCCUCCCACCUCCAGAAGUACCGCCUCUACCACAAGCGCAUGCAGGGGCUCGGCGGGGGCGGCGGCGGGGGCGGGUGCGCGGGCGGCAGCCACUCCUCCGGCUCCGGCACCGACGCCGCCACCGAGCACCUCUUCGCCACGGGGCCUGUCCCCUUCCUCCCGUACCCGUGCCCGCCCUUCGCGCCCAUGGGCGCCGCGCACCACCACCACCACCACGCGCCGCAGAUCGGCCACUUCCACCACCCCGCCGCCCGGCCGCUCGGCCACUACGGCCCCACGGGCGCCGGCUUCGACCACGGCUUCCUCAGCCGCGCGGUCGGCGCCGGCGCGCCGCCCGUCGGCCCGCCCGGGAUGCACCACCACCGCAUGAUGGCGCCCGCCUCCUUCGCCGACGACAUGGACCUCGGAUCCCGAGGCGGCCCCGGGGGCCUCUACCUCAAGCGCAUGCAGGGGCUCAGCGGCGGUGGCGGCAGGGGCGCGGGUGGCAAGCACUCCGCCUCCGGCACCGACUCCACCGGGGGCAGCGGGACCACCAACUCCGCCGUCACCUUCGACGCGACGCAUACACAUUCCAUCGGCACCGACUCCACCGGGGGCAGCGGGACCACCAGCUCCGGCACCGACGCAUCCAUCUGAACAAUGUGCUUUCAGCCUUUUAGCCUUUUCUUAUCGUUCCGUGGCAUCUUGAUUUUAACCAUGGUUUAAAUAGAGGGUUAUAGUGCCGCUAUAGUCUUUUUAGAGGAUUUCCCUACGCUAUUUGUAUUUGUACCGCUAUGUUAACUAUGAAUGCUAAAUUGGGCUAUAGUUGCGCUAAAUGGUGUAGCUUUAGCGCCGCUAAAGUCUUAUCCUUAGUCCAGUGCUAACGUUUUGAUCUUUUGGACAACUAAAUAUUUGAUUGUAUGAAUUUUGUUGUAUUGUCAACUUAAGUAAUAUUUCUGUAGCCCUAAAAACAUA